CAGGGCAGGGGGGCUGGAGGGCUGGACCACAAGUGGGUGGAUGGUGGCUGCUGUGACAGGCUCUGCUCCAGCCAAGUCCAGCUCAUCAGGUCAUGUCAAAUGGAGCUAAUAUAAAUGUCAGUGUGCUGCUUUCAGUUGUGAAAUCUGUGUUUGUUGUACUGCAGUUCAUUUUCAGUCUUCCACUUCUAUGGAUGCUAUCAGCUGACAUGUCUGGCUGGUAUCCUCUGCCAAAAAUACACAUACUCUCAACAUUUCUCAGGAGUUGGGUUUUUUCCCCCCCUCCCUGUGACAUGCUGAUGUCAAAUUUCUUCCUGGCUCUGUGAUACACAAGACUGUCCACACCUACCAGAUAAUGAGUUUAACAUUCAAGGACAGAAGCUCUCAGUCUCAGUGAGACACAGGGUGGAGGUGCAGGCCUCAUUUGGGGUAGAUGCCAAAAGUGGCAGGGCUCUUUUAAGCUUUCUUGGCGUGUUCUCUCUUAAGAUAAUCCAGCCCAACAGAAAUAGAUGUGUAUAGCUCAGAGUACCAUUGAUAUUCUUGUUACAGUUAAAUACUACAUUGUUAUUAACAGCAUCUUAAAUUCUUCUCCCAUGGUUCCUUCCUUUUGGAAUAAAUUCUAUUCUUCUGAGCACCCAGGUCUCAGUCUUCUAUUAAUGUUGCUCUGGUUUACUCCAGGCUCUUCAUCAUCUCCCCACCCUACAACUAUAUGUUGGCUUCACAAAUAAAAAUUCUUACUCUCUUCCAUUCUGCUCCCCUACCUUUCUCUUGGCAACCUUAUCUGCAUAUCCAAGCUCAAGCAUCCAUGCUCUGACAAGACUCACAAGUCUACUCUGGACUUGUUUCUUUUUGUCCAAAACCAAAACUUCAUGCAGCAUCUUUCACUUUUACUCACUCAUGGUAAGCUGUCAUCUUAAGCUAACCAUGAAUUUCCAGUUUCCUCCCCACAAAAUCUUGCCUCUUUGCUUCUCUUUGUUUUUUUUGGGUUUUUUUCCCUAUCAUGAUCUGGGACUCAUAUUUGUUACUAAGGCUCCAAAGGUAAGGAAUUUUUUCAGCUGGCUCACCUCUCUAAUUUAUUACCUUCAGAAUGUGUCUAUGCCUUUCUGAGUUUUAGUUAUGACAAACAGAAAAGAUACUGAAUUUCCUGGUGCUCCACACGACUGAAACCCUUACAGAGGUUUAGAAUUGCUUGGAUUUUUUCUGUGGAAACAUUCUUUAUUUUCCUGGACAAACUGAAUCACAUGUACAUUUUUCCAUAUUACUCUGUAAAUGUAAUUUCUCCAGCUUAUCUGUGUGACCAAUGUGUUGCUGUUUUGGUGUCCUUCUUGGAAGAAAGAUAUUUCUUCAUGACAGUCCUUCUGUUUCAACAAAUGAAAGCUAUUCUUUACUUUGAAGACACUGCCUCGCUCUUUAGCUUGGUCUGAUGGUCACAGUUAGGAGAAGGUCAGAGGGACAAGGAGCCAGAAUCCUGUCCACCCUCCCAGGCUGGCUGCUAGGACAGACACCCUGUGACUUAUGACAGCAAGAAGUAAAUCUGCAAAGCUCUGCUUCCCUGGAUGCAGCUACAUUUUAUGUUGGUGCAUGUUCUCCUGCUAUUUCUCCUUUUUGCCAGUUCCUCUUCCCUUUGUUGUGUCUGAGCAUUUCCUGGGACAAGAGCAAGAUUUUAUAUUUCUACAGCACCAAGCACAGCAGCUCCCUAACCUCAGUGAUGGGGACUCUGAGGAUGCAGUAAUCAGGUCAGCAUCAUUCCAGCCACCAGCACAAGGCAAAAACAUGUACAUACAGAGCACCUCCUGCCCAGAGCACCCAUCAGACAUCCCACCUCAUCUGCUGACACAAUCCUUCAGCGCCCACCAAAAUCAAAUGCAGCUAAUUGGAAGGUGAUGACAGCCAGGAGACUGCUGGAUUUGCAUGCUAAUUCCUCUAUUUUACCGUCACACAGCCCAAGUACAGCAGGCUGAACACCUUCCUGAGAAAAACAGGAUUUCUGCAUGGAAGGAGGAUGAAUACUAAGACACACACCUGAAUUCUGCAGCAUAAGAGAAUGUCACCAUGAAUGUCCAUUGGCAAACUGGAUAAGAAAGAGUGUCACAGUGCAGGACAACCUAGAAGAUGACAGGUAUUUCCAGGCAUAGCAAUGAUGAGAUCAAAUUCCCCUCAACCUGCCUUGUUUGCUGAUCUUUUAAUCAGAUUCAACUUCACUGCAGCUAUAGCACAAGGUUCCCUGACAAUGUAUGACAGCAUGUGACAGAAAAAUAUAUUUUUUUUUUGGCCAUUUGAUGGUAUUUGAGAUAAAUCUGAAGCCCCAGCAGCAUCUGCUAAAUCUACCAAACUACUUUAGUGGAGGUUUUUAACUAUUCAUAAUUGAACUGGAGGGUUUGUGUUCGUGUGUUUGUAGUGGAAUCCAAACAGGAAAGCUGGGAAAUGAUCUAAACCCUUUGAGGUUAACCUGCUAUGAAAGAUCAUCAAUGACAGAAGAGGACAUUAUUAAAAAGGAGCCAGCCUCACUCAAAAUGAACCACUGUGUGAAGCCAAAGCCCAAAGAACAACACCCAGGGCUGUUUGUGGUCCCGCAGGGAUAUGUAUUUCAUCCCUCAUCUUCAUCUCUCCAAACUUCCUCUGAACUGCUUCUGAGCUGAAUUCUUGAGAAAGAAAAACAGCAAAUUUUGAAUGGAACUUAUCAAACUUUUCCCUACAAUCUGCUUCGUAUUCCUCUCACAAUCAUGUUCUUGCAGUGUCUUGGGGAGAUGCUUGGAUCAAAGAUAAGAGAGAACAAGAAAAGGAAUGAAGAGAGAAACAAACAACAAAAUAAAAGCAGCACCCCCCAAACUUCUUGAUGAAACUCCUCUGCGAAUCGAGUGCAUGGUUACAGCAAAGUUAAAACUGCCUUCUUCUUCACCAGCAUUUAAUUCCUGCUUUUAAAAUCAGGCUCCCUUUGAUCUUGAGGACUGAAAUGAUCUGGAAAUGAAACAGCCAGUGCUUUGCAGAAAAUCUGGAGAGGGUCCCAGACAUGGCUUUUACCUGGAAGGCUUCCAAAACAGGAUGAAAUCUCUCUGGUUUCAGAACAAAUUGCAAGAUUUUUUCUCUAUGUCUAGUCCAACUGUGGAACUCUAGCCCUGAUGUCUGCUGCUUCCCAAAGCACAGAUGUAAUAACCUCUGAGGUGAAAUGAGAACGUUAUUCCCCCAUCUUCUCCCCUCUGCCUCCCCUCUGAGGGUUGAGGGCUGAGAGAAUUUUAUUAAAGUGAAGGCUUAAAGUUUUGGGCAGACUUAAUUUGAGGAGACAGUUGGUUAUAACCCAGGCUAGGGCCAUCCAUGUGGAGGUUGGAGAGGACAGAGCUCCAGGAGCAUCUGUGACAUCUGGAUCCUGUUGAAAGCUCAGAAAUAUCUGCCUGGCUUCAUGUGACCUGGCCUCAGAGCCAAAAGGGCUGAGAAAUGUGGUUAAGAAACUGCAGCAAGCUCUGCCCUAGCAAAUGAGUCCCACUGAGAAAGCAAGCACAUCAAUAUUUCUUUGAGUCUGUUUCUUUUAGUGAAUAUAUUUCCAUAUGUUGCAUUAAUAUUUCUUUUAUUGGGGCUUGUGAGCCCAUCUGGUAUUUGUAUUGGGAGGGCUUGAGCUGGCAGAUCCCUGUGCUGCUGUUAGACACAGAUCUGGACAGCCCUUGCAAGGACGGGUAGGUGGUUGGAUAGGGACAACAUCUCCUCAGCUGCCUUUUUAAUUGGAUAAACUUCUCAAAUCAGUCAAGAUAACCAGGUUACUUCUUGUCAAUUAGUUCCCACUGUGCCAAAGUUACAACAUGGGCUGUGUAUAAGGUAUAGCAGUCCACUGUAAAGAAACCUCUCAGACACUGUACAGUGUAACAGCUCUGAUCUAGGUGGUGCAAAGGAGGAAAGAUACCUGGGCACCAAUAGUAAACAAAAAAUGUGCUGAAAUACCCCAGUUUGCCAGGACAAUAAGAAUCACUUUCCUUUGCAAGUAUUAUUAAGGAAUAGGGGAAUAAUUAUCUGCUUUAAUACAAGCUUUUUCCUUCUGCAUGAUUAACUUCAGUGAUAUCAACAGAGAGUGUGAUGACUCUGAAAUGACAGCUCCUGGUAGCACGUUCUGGGAUUAGCAAAAACAGGUUGUCACUGUACCCCAGUCAGGAGCAGGCAGUCGCUGUGUGCCCAGGGCUGGGCAGCAGAGCCGUGUUCUGCAGCAGACAUCUGACAGCCCAAGUGGGCAGCAGGUCCAGCCUCCUGCCAGGUGGCUCCCAGGUCGGGCGUGCAGGGCUCUGCUCCUCCAGGAGAUUGGAUUUCCUGAGGCAGCAGCGUGUGAUUUUGGCUGUGCAGCUUCCAGACUGAAAGCACUGCGUGCUCCUCGUGCUAAGCUGUGACUUGCUCUGUUCUGUGCACAAUGCACUGAGCUGAUUUUAAAAUAUUGUGUACUUUUAAAAUGCCUGGCUCUAAUGCCAGUCCUGUGUCUGGCUGCUCAACGUGCGAAGUGACAGCGCACGCACCAGCCCCUGGAGGGGAUGGAGAGAGAGGUAGGACAAACACGCCAGAGCUCUGAGCAAUGGCAUGAAACAACAAAAAGAAUCCUUUCAUUCUUACUAAAGUUGCAAAAAGUCUGUCAUGUCUUCUGUAGAAAUUAAUCAAUACAUGGAAAACUGCAUAACAACUGUGGGGGCAGCAAGAAUCUGUCUAUAAAUUAAAAUACUGUGAGUUUCCAGAGCUGACUGGGGAAAGCACUGGGGUUGCUAACAGGGCUCUGGAGCCAGGACAGAGUCCAUGGAAUUGGAUCCUUCACUACAGUCCAUGUUUUGUCAAUGUCAGGAUACAUGAGAACUGUAAAACAAAGCAAAUUGUAUGUUUGGAAGGAAACUUGAAAUUUAGUCCGGCAUCACAUUCAUUUGAAAAUUUCAUAUUAAUAAAAAAAAACAAAAAUGAAAUGUCCAUAUAUUUUAAAGAAAAAUAGGAGGUGAAAAGAUUAAUUCCCAAAAUCUGUGAAAUAUACAAUGAUGAGUUACUGAGGGCUGCAGUGAAGGGGGGUGUUUUUGUAAUUCUGUAGGCAUCUCAGUCCUCCGGUGAAAUGAUGUAUGGGGCAAUCGUCUGGUAGGGGCUGAUGGGAUGUAAAUGAAACUAAUUAAGGAAAUGUCAAACAUAAUUAAUAAAACAGGUUUAAGUUGCAAAAGCACUGUCAGCUGAAUGAAUGGGGAAGAAUGCCUCAUUCCCAUUGUUUUGGGGCUUGCUUGCUUAUUUA